rnacentral:rRNA from 1 species
UACAGAGGGUGCGAGCGUUAAUCGGAAUUACUGGGCGUAAAGCGCACGUAGGUGGCGACGUAAGUCGGGUGUGAAAGCCCCGGGCUCAACCUGGGAAUUGCAUUCGAGACUGCAUUGCUGGAGUACGGAAGAGGAAGGCGCAAUUCCCGGUGUAGCGGUGAAAUGCGUAGAUAUCGGGAGGAACAUCAGUGGCGAAGGCGGCCUUCUGGUCCAGUACUGACACUCAAGUGCGAAAGCGUGGGGAGCAAACAGG